UUAUGUUUUGGAAACAAUGAUAAAUUCCUCUAACCUGGACACUUGAGGGAUUUGGAGUUAGUAGUGUAACCGGCCAACAAUUAA
rnacentral:ncRNA from 2 species